rnacentral:tRNA from 1 species
UACUCUUUUAUUAUAUAAAAGUAUAUUUGACUUCCAAUCAAAAGGUCUCAUAGAGAAAGAGUAA